rnacentral:lncRNA from 1 species
GCAGGAAGUGACAUAACAAGGAGACUCAUAUCUAAACAAGGAAACAGGAAGUGGCCCCUUUUCCCAUUCACCUCCUCCAGCAGCAGGAUGCGAUCCACCAACAAAGAGGGAUGCCAAAUUCUCUUCCAGAAACCCUGUCCUGCUUUUGCUCUUGGGUGUCUGUAUAAAGCAACUGAAAUUCUCAAAUUAACUGACAUUGAUAGCUGCAUCACAUCAUUUCCUUCUAAAUGCUGGACCUGAA